rnacentral:ncRNA from 1 species
GGGUGGCUGAAUUAGAGAUCGGCACCCUAUAUUUUUAAUAUCUACAGUUGUCUGGAGUAAAGAAUGUCUCUAAGCGUUGAAGCUAAAGCAAAAAUCGUUUCUGAGUUUGGUCGUGAUGC